ensembl:antisense Gm13427 predicted gene 13427
AGACCACUGGCGCCGGUCUCCCACACGCCGCCGCACCUUCGGGUUCCAGCCUCACUGCCUGCGACAACCCGGCUCCGCACGACCUUUUAAAGGUAGCUUUUCUGAGCUCAAGGGAAAGCCCCAAAUAUGGGAACCUGGAAAGAAGUAUUGAGAGAGUGAUCCUUUGGGAUAGGAGGUUGAAGAAACAGCAUUUGUUCAGUGUGCCAGGCGAGAUCGUGCAUUCGUGUAUGAUUGUUUUAGUAUGAAUCCUUUCACAGGUGAGACACGUGUCCUCCUAAAACUCAAGGCGGGAAAAACACAAAAGGCCAGCCAGUUCCUGCUGGUGGACAUGCUGAAGGAGGACCUGAGAUGCUAAAGAAACAGCUCACACACAAGGGGAAGGAAGCCCAGGUAGAGGGUAUGGAUCCCUCGAACCUGUCAGCAGACGGAACACGCGGCUCCUCGUGUGCAGAGAAACAGCUCCAUCCGAGAACACAGCCUGGACCUCCGCCUACUCAUGUGAUGAAGGAACAACAGUAGCCUUGGCAACCCUCCCUUGUGCCACCUACCUGCAGCCAGCUUCUCCCCCACCACCAUCACCAGCAGGUCACUCUGGCCAUCUUUGAUGGCCCUCUAUGGGAGAUAUCACUAUGACCUCAGCUUCCCCCUGGUUGGUUGGCAAGAGUAUCUUGCUACAACCAACCUUUUCAUGGAUACAUGGUCAUAUCAUCUGCGGGCUGGUGAGGUGGACACCUGCCAUCAAGUCUGUCAAGCUGAGUUCUAUCCCUCAGACCAAGGUAAAAGAAGAGAACCAA